rnacentral:rRNA from 1 species
UUCGCCAGGGAACAACGAGCCCCAGCUUAAAACCCAAAGGACUUGGCGGUGCUUUAGACCCCCCUAGAGGAGCCUGUUCUAGAACCGAUACCCCCCGUUCAACCUCACCCUCUCUUGUUUAACCCGCCUAUAUACCGCCGUCGUCAGCUUACCCUGUGAAGGCUAAAUAGUAAGCAAAAUUGGCACAACCCAAAACGUCAGGUCGAGGUGUAGCGCACGGGAGGGGAAGAAAUGGGCUACAUUUACUGUUACAGUAAAUACGGACUUUGCACUGAAAUAAGCAUCUGAAGGAGGAUUUAGCAGUAAGAGGGGAAUAGAGCGCCCCUCUGAAACCGGCCCUGAAGCGCGCACACACCGCCCGUCACUCUCCCCGACCACUGCAACUAAUAAAUAAUAUGCCUAGACUUAUUAAUAAGGGGAGGCAAGUCGUAACAUGGUAAGUGUACCGGAAGGUGCGCUUGGAAAAACC